UGGAUCUGCUUCAGAUGCUCUAUUGCUGUUGCAUGGAGGUGGUUCAGUUCUGCACGAAGAGACGCUACCGGACAAAAACCACCAGAGUUAAAAUGGAGAAUGAGGGUGAGAUGUUUUGUCAGCACUGAGGGCAUAAGCAUCAACGCACAGCAGCUCAAAUCGCAGCGUCUGCAGCUCCUGGUCUGACUGCUGUCUCAGGAUGUCUAAGGUCCUCCUGUGGGCCUCCUUCAGAGCAUGAACC